rnacentral:rRNA from 1 species
AGGUGGGGAUAACGUAGACGAAAGUUGCGCUAAUACCGCAUAUUCUGUCCCCCGAGCAGGAAAGCGAGGGACCGCAAGGCCUUGCGCUCUUUGAGCGGCCGAUGUCAGAUUAGCUAGUUGGUGAGGUAACGGCUUACCAAGGCGACGAUCUGUAGCGGGUCUGAGAGGAUGAUCCGCCACACUGGAACUGAGACACGGUCCAGACUCCUACGGGAGGCAGCAGUGGGGAAUUUUGGACAAUGGGCGCAAGCCUGAUCCAGCCAUGCCGCGUGAGUGAAGAAGGCCUUCGGGUUGUAAAGCUCUUUCGGCCGGGAAGAAAUCGCAUGGGUUAAUACCCUGUGUGGAUGACGGUACCGGAAUAAGAAGCACCGGCUAACUACGUG